UACGUAGGGGGCAAGCGUUAUCCGGAAUUACUGGGUGUAAAGGGUGCGUAGGCGGUAAUGUAAGUCAGGUGUGAAAGCCCGAAGCUCAACUUCGGGAUUGCACUUGAAACUACAUAACUAGAGUACAGGAGAGGUGAGUGGAAUUCCUAGUGUAGCGGUGAAAUGCGUAGAUAUUAGGAGGAACACCAGUGGCGAAGGCGACUCACUGGACUGUAACUGACGCUGAGGCACGAAAGCGUGGGGAGCGAACAGG
rnacentral:rRNA from 2 species